GCCCCGGUAAACGGCGGCCGUAACUAUAACGGUCCUAAGGUAGCGAAAUUCCUUGUCGGGUAAGUUCCGACCUGCACGAAUGGCGUAAUGAUGGCCAGGCUGUCUCCACCCGAGACUCAGUGAAAUUGAACUCGCUGUGAAGAUGCAGUGUACCCGCGGCAAGACGGAAAGACCCCGUGAACCUUUACUAUAGCUUGACACUGAACACUGGUCCUUGAUGUGUAGGAUAGGUGGGAGGCUUUGAAGCGUGGACGCCAGUCUGCGUGGAGCCGUCCUUGAAAUACCACCCUUUAAUGGCUGGUGUUCUAACGUAGACCCGUAAUCCGGGUUGCGGACAGUGUCUGGUGGGUAGUUUGACUGGGGCGGUCUCCUCCCAAAGAGUAACGGAGGAGCACGAAGGUUAGCUAAUCCUGGUCGGACAUCAGGAGGUUAGUGCAAUGGCAUAAGCUAGCUU
rnacentral:rRNA from 1 species